UUCCCUCAUUGGAAACAUUUGUUGAAUAAAGUGAUUUAAUCUGUUCUUAUCAGCUUAAUAUCUGAUACACCCUUCAUAGGAGGGUCAGAAUAUUAACUUGAUUUUUGGAAUCAGGUGGAAUCGGCGGGGCUCGCUCCUCAUCCACCAUUGGUCAGCCUGGCAUUGCAGUGAUUGGCCCACAUUUG